ACACAUGCAAGUCGUACGAGAACUCUUCUGCUUGCAGAAGAUAGUAAAGUGGCGCACGGGUGAGUAACGCGUGGGUAAUCUACCUCCGAAUCGGGGAUAACCCGCCGAAAGGCGAGCUAAUACCGGAUAAUAUCUUUAAAACUUAGGUUUUUAAGAUCAAAGGUGGUCUCUACAUGUAAGCUACUGUUGGGAGAUGAGCCCGCGUACCAUUAGCUUGUUGGUAGGGUAAUGGCCUACCAAUGCCGCGAUGGUUAGCUGGUCUGAGAGGAUGAUCAGCCACACUGGAACUGACACACGGUCCAGACUCCUACGGGAGGCAGCAGUGAGGAAUUUUGCGCAAUGGGGGAAACCCUGACGCAGCAACGCCGCGUGAGUGAUGAAGGCUUUCGGGUCGUAAAGCUCUGUCAAGUGGGAAGAAAAUGCUAGAUGCUAAUACCAUCUUGCACUGACGGUACCACUAAAGGAAGCACCGGCUAACUCCGUGCCAGCAGCCGCGGUAAUACGGGGGGUGCAAGCGUUAUUCGGAAUUAUUGGGCGUAAAGGGCGCGUAGGCGGUCUCUAAAGUCAGAUGUGAAAGCCCGGGGCUUAACCCCGGAAGUGCAUUUGAAACUCAGGGACUUGAGUAUGGGAGAGGGAAGUGGAAUUCCUGGUGUAGCGGUGAAAUGCGUAGAUAUCAGGAGGAACACCAGUGGCGAAGGCGACUUCCUGGACCAAUACUGACGCUGAGGCGCGAAGGCGUGGGGAGCAAACAGGAUUAGAUACCCUGGUAGUCCACGCAGUAAACGGUGAACACUAGGUGUAGCGGGUAUUGACCCCUGCUGUGCCGCAGCUAACGCAUUAAGUGUUCCGCCUGGGGAGUACGAUCGCAAGAUUAAAACUCAAAGGAGUUGACGGGGGCCCGCACAAGCGGUGGAGCAUGUGGUUUAAUUCGACGCAACGCGAAGAACCUUACCUGGAUUUGACAUCCCGAGAAGUCAUUCGAAAGAUUGAUUUGCCCUUCGGGGAACUCGGUGACAGGUGCUACAUGGCUGUCGUCAGCUCGUGUCGUGAGAUGUUGGGUUAAGUCCCGCAACGAGCGCAACCCCUAUCUUUAGUUACCAGCAAUUCGGUUGGGGACUCUAAAGAUACUGCCCCGGUUAACGGGGAGGAAGGUGGGGAUGACGUCAAGUCCUCAUGGCCUUUAUAUCCAGGGCUACACACGUGCUACAAUGGACUGUACAAAGGGUCGCGACCUCGCGAGAGUGAGCCAAUCCCAUAAAGCAGUUCUUAGUUCGGAUUGGAGUCUGCAACUCGACUCCAUGAAGCU
rnacentral:rRNA from 1 species